GAUGAACGCUGGCGGCGUGCUUAACACAUGCAAGUCGAACGGAAAGGCCCUGCUUUUGUGGGGUGCUCGUGUGGCGAACGGGUGAGUAACACGUGAGUAACCUGCCCUUGACUUUGUGAUAACUUCAGGAAACUGGGGCUAAUACCGGAUAGGAGCUCCUGCUGCAUGGUGGGGGUUGGAAAGUUUCGGCGGUUGUGGAUGGACUCGCGGCUUAUCCGCUUGUUUGUGGGGUAGUGGCUUACCAAGGCUUUGACGGGUAGCCGGCCUGAGAGGGUGACCGGCCACAAUGGGACUGAGAGACGGCCCAGACGCCUACGGGAGGCAGCAGUGGGGAAUAUUGCACAAUGGGCGGAAGCCUGAUGCAGCAACGCCGCGUGCGGGAUGACGGCUUUCGGGUUGUAAACCGCUUUCGCCUGUGACGAAGCGUGAGUGACGGUAAUGGGUAAAGAAGCACCGGCUAACUACGUG
rnacentral:rRNA from 1 species